GUUGCUCCUACAGAGACAAAUCACCCUCAGUGCAAUGCAUUUAAAACAACUUCCACACUGCAGUUAAAACAGACACUUAAGCCCCCUUCUCUUAGAAUCAGGAGAUGUUCAACUGUUCUGCAAGGGUCAGCCACAGACAGGCAGGUCAAAGCAGUUUUUCCUCAAACUUUCACAGACUGUCCUCAUGUUUUCAAACAAUAGCAAAUUCAGUGUCAUUGCCAGUGGGAAAAGCCACAGCCACAAGCGACCAAAUGCUUCAUAAACAGAUUUUAGAACACAGUGUAAAACAUUCCAGAAGUGUUCCUUGUGUAGACAUUGUCCUAGAAUAGCUACCACCAGCAGUUUCACUUUGCAUAGGCUCACAGCUUUGUGUUUUUGUUGCCUGCUAUAUUUUAAAGCCUCAUUAGUCAAAAGCUAAAUUUUGCUACCAGAAGCAGCAUAGGCUAGAGUGCAUGGCAGUCUCUACAGCUUCAAUCUCAUCCUAGACUCCUGAAGCCCAGAGUUGCAAGUAGUGAUUGCAGGGGCUUGUCAGUCCCA